rnacentral:SRP_RNA from 1 species
GCCAGGCAUGGUGGUGCAUGCCUGUAGUCCCAGCUACUUGGGAGGCUGAGGCAGGAGGAUCACUUGAGCCCAGGAGUUCAAGACCAGCCUGGGCAACAUAGUGAGACCCCAUCUCUA